GUUUCAAUCUUAUCUCUCCCACUGCGUAUCAUAUCAAAGCCGCCCUGUUGCUUUUGCUUCUUAACAUUUAAAUUUCUACAAAAACCAGCAAAUGAUACCUGAUUUCUGUAAGGGUAAAUAUAAUCUGCACUCAAUUCUAUGUAUUUGCACUUCAUGAUCCCGGCAGGACCUCCCCUAAAACCAUACAAAAUGCUACCUUUCGCGCGAUCCUGCAAGUAAUC